rnacentral:lncRNA from 1 species
AAGUCAACAGUGGCACGCCAGAAUUGAGGAAUUUCUUAUAUUUCAUUCAAUCUAAUAUUCUCAGUGUGACCAGUUUACCAAGCUACACCAGUGAGUUGCAUGUGGAAGUCUAUUGCAGGCCUGGGGAAUGGAUAGGGGAACGAUGGAUUAGGUGCGAUGCAGAGCAGGUUUCUCGGGGGACUAACGCAUGAAGUGCUGCGACGUGCACAUGCGCAGGAUUAACGUUCCUCAGCGCUGGGGCAGGGCAGUGCAGCGCUUCCUUUAUCACCUGCGUACUUCUUACUUAGAAUGUCAAAACAAAAAUAGGUGGUGGUACUUACGUCUGAUUCUUUUCUUCAUGUGUGCCAUAAAUGGCAAGGACAUGGCAUGUGCUUCUGAAGCAGAAGAGCCCCACUGCUUUCCCUUGAGCAAAUGGCGUCAUGAAUUCCACGGUGCGUUCAAUACGCUGACAUCGCGUUUUGCUGGGGUGAGGAAGGGAGCAAGGAAAGAUCUGUAUGCCCACACUGCGAUUUCCUCCUACCAAACUCACCUCUGCAGCCACCCUUUCAAAGGACUGACACACUCUUCAUCAAGUGAACAUCUCUAUGAAUUAUCAGCUGAACAGAUCUCUUGUUAAUUCUACUAAAAGUUCAUCUAAAACAGACCUGUGAUCCAGGAGAAUGCCCAAGAAGUUUUAUGGAAUACUGAGAUAUAGUGCUAGAAGAACACCACAGACUUGAUCUAAAUCUUUAGGCACUAGUGUGCAAUUUCUUUCUUCCCUUUCUUUCAUGAUGCUGUGGAUUGAACUCCGGGCUCACUGUGAGCACUCUACUGCUAAGCAAUAGCCUCAGCCCCUCUAAUAUGCAAUUUCUGUGUUAAUUCUGAGAUCGAGUUCACACAUACCAAGUUGACUGAUGCAUUUCUUACUCAAAAACACGAAGAUAUCAACUAGAUGCUAAACUUCUAGUAAAAUAUUUGGUACAUGUAACAAGAUUCUAAAUACACGGUAUUCAGAACUUUAUUAGACUCUGCUAUUUUAUUAGACUCUGCUAAUUUUAUCAACUCAGCAUUUCAAAGCUUAAUGACAGAUAUAGAAAUAGGUUCAUUAGACUCACACUGCAAUUUUUGGAUUUCAGGAUAUUUGUCCCAUUUUUGUGACCAGUGGGUGACAAUGAGGAAUAAUGCUAGCUAAUAUAUGAAAUGAAAAAGCACAGUAUUUAGUCACAUCUGAGACUGAAAUACAGAUUUUCCCACUUUUUGGCUGUGUGAUCUUGGGCAAAUCAUUUAACUGCUAAGGAGCUUUCACCAGGAUGUUCUAAGAAUCCAAUGAUGCACUGAUGUGAAAGUUCUUUGUAAAGAAAAUGUUAUAUUCUCUAUACUCAAAAUUGAAUGUUAGCUUUAGAAAAGGAACUCUAGGUAUGGUCUUUGAUUUUUCACAGUGAGAAAGAUGUAUGAGGAAACCAGUGAAGAAAGAAUACCAUACCCAGUGACACAAUCAACCCUCACAGAAGCACCUUUAGACUGGGCUCUUGCUGCAGUUUUCAAUGUGUUUGAGAAACUGAAAGGAAUUUAUUUUUUUCCUGGUUAAAACUUGCACAAAGUAGUUACUACCUACCAGGUACUGUGCCGAACACUUAACAUAAAGAUCAUCCCACCCUCACAGUCACCCAGGAGGGUUGCUGCUAUAGCUACAGUUGUUUUAUGGAUGAGGAAACCAGGGGCACACUUUAGAGAAGGACUCCGCCAGUCCUGACCACAGGCAGAAUUUCACCCAUAUUUAUUGCACUGAUCAGUAUUCACUGUAUUCUGUUUGCUUUUUUUCUCCUGCUCCAGUUAUUAUGUGAGAAUACUAAAUUACUUUUCAGUACCUUUGGGAUGAGGGGCAAAUGUCAGAUGUGGGUAAUUCUCAACCCUAGAACAAUCACACACAGCCUGAUGAACCAUUAUACUUACUGGCAGAAUAUGCCACAUCUACACCACCUAUGAAAUUGGGAAGACGAAGUGAUCCAACUUUCCAAAGCGUGGGGAGGGAGCUGCAAAUGGCCCUGUGUGUCUGCCUAAGGAGCCUACUCUCCACAACUCUUGAGAAAUAGUUACUGCAUUAAGAGGGCAUGUAAAAUUUUUUCCAGAUUUCCCAACCACAUAGACUUUCCCCUAGCUUGGGCUGCAGCCCUUACAAUAUGUGGUUUGGACACGAAUCUGGAAUCAAUAAUCUUUCUAGCACCCUGUGCAUUUCUCGCCUGCUUCAAAAAUCUCUUCUUUGCUUUCUUCCUUGGGGACUGGCUAAGACUAAUCGUUUAUGUUGAUAAAUCUGGUAAAACCUAGAGGUGAUAACUUUGUGCAUUAUUUAUAUGAGGGUUUCCAGUAUCUUGGUCCUACACAGGAGCGAUGAACUUGGGACUAUGAAUGGCAUGGCUGUUUUGGUAAAGAUAUUUUCAUUAUUACCACGGGGGCAACUUGCCUACAUAUAAAGCCAGCCUAGGCGGGCACCCAA